GGCAACAACAAUAAUAGUGGCGGUGGCAAUCAUGGCGGCGGUGGCAAUUAUGGUGGCUAUCAACCGCGCCAAGGUAAUGGCCAGGGAGGAGGCCGCUCCAGGCAGGGGGCCCAAGUCACAUGUCAGAUCUAUGACAGAGAGGGUCAUCCUGCGUUCCGCUGCUGGAAAAGGUUCAAUAAGAAUUAUCAGGGACCUGAACGUUCAGCUAAUGCAGUCACACAUGGUGUUGAUCCACAGUGGUACACCGACAAGGGUGCUACUGAGCAUAUUACGGGGGAAUUGGACAAGCUGGCCAUGAGGGAACGCUACACUGGCAAUGAUCAGAUUCAUGAUGCCAAUGGUAAAGGAUCAGGACACGAGGAAAAUUCUUCUUCAAGGUAGAUGUGUGGGUGGUCUCUAUCCUAUGCCGUCUCCCUCAUCUUGGUCGUCAAGGAAGCAAGCUCUUGGUGUCCAGUCCUCCUCACACUGGCAUAGGCAUCUAGGACAUCCAUCUUCAGCUGUUGUUCAGAAAAUUCUUCGAGAUAAUGAAAUUCCCUUUAGUGAGUCAAAUAAAUAGUCGGUUUGUGAUGCCUGUCAAAAAGGCAAGAGUCACCAGUUGCCUUAUCCUAAGUCUUUUAGUGAAUCUUCUGCUCCUUUAGAACUUGUGUUUUCUGAUGUAUGGGGCCCUGCCUCAGUUUCAGUUGGAAGAAGUAAAUAUUAUGUCAGUUUUA